rnacentral:rRNA from 1 species
UACGUAGGGUGCAAGCGUUGUCCGGAAUUAUUGGGCGUAAAGAGCUCGUAGGCGGUCUGUCACGUCGGCUGUGAAAACCCGAGGUUCAACCUCGGGCCUGCAGUCGAUACGGGCAGACUAGAGUUCGGUAGGGGAGACUGGAAUUCCUGGUGUAGCGGUGAAAUGCGCAGAUAUCAGGAGGAACACCGGUGGCGAAGGCGGGUCUCUGGGCCGAUACUGACGCUGAGGAGCGAAAGCGUGGGGAGCGAACAGG